UCCUCGGUAGCUCAGCUGGUAGAGCAAGCGGCUGUUAACCGCUGGGUCGCUGGUUCGAAUCCGGCCCGGGGAGCCA
rnacentral:tRNA from 1 species